CAACGUCACGCCCACCCACGAUCUCCCGUUCCUCUCCAAGUCUCAAACCACCCACCCCCACCAGCCCCGCCCGCACCUCCCACAAGGUUUCAUGGCCGCCGCCUGGCCCUCCUCUGGCCGGCGCUCUACGGUUACACGCCCCCCAAGGUCCCCACCGCCGCCUCCGGGGAGGAGGGGCACAUCGAGAGGCAGAGGGCAGUCCACCGCUGUCGAGGCCCUCGCUUCCCCUCGCUGUUCAUCCUCUCCUGGUGCCAUCGGCAUCUAAUUCCUCUGCCUCGCGGCCAAAAAUCAAUCCCCACCUUUCUCCCAUACAAUAGAAGGUCGAGAACCUUGAACCGAGGCGAGCAGCCGGCCUGGGUGCCGUCGCUGUCGUCCUCGACGGAGAAAGAGAGCACACAGGCCUUAUCCAAUCCCCCGCCGUGCCUCCCACGCGCUCCCACGCCGUCUCUUCCCACGCGCUGCAUCCCAGGCGCCACACUGGUGGCCUCCCCACGUCUCCACGUGCCCAGCCGGGCCAGCGACAUUCCAGCACUCCGAUUCGUCUUCCAUCCAUCUCCAUCGGAUGCGGCCGCCUAGGCGCACGAAUUGCCUUGCCCCGACGCCGCCACCGCCCUGCCGUCUACACACUGCAGUUCGAUUCAGAAGAAUAAUUUAUGUGAUCUGAUUUGAUUUGUACAAAGAUUUGCUCGAGGCUAACCUGCGUACAGGUAAUUUACACUUUGCAAGUUUAUUUGAGUAUAACUCAUCCCUGGCCAGUUUCGUGUGUAAUAUUUAAGUCAAUGACAUGUCAUGCUUAAUUAUUUAAUGUUCAACCCAGAAUACUACUAUUUCUUACUUAAGCGUGAAAUACUCCAGAAACUCUGCUAAAAAUGAAGGCUCUUCUUUUAAAUGAUAGCAACCGGCAACUGCCAUGGUUCCAAGACCAAGAACUUCCUACUCAACCAAUAAUGCACUUCUUUCAGUUCAUUCUAACUUCUAAGACGUUAACCACCAAGAAAAGGAACUUCUCAAGCUUCUGUUUGAGCCAAGUUAAGCAUGGCUGCUUACAGUUAAUUGCAGUUUAGGUAUUGUUCAAUUUUCCAGAGAUAGGCAGUAGGAUAUCUACCAUUUUCAUACGACGUGCUAUGAAUAUGAUUACACUCUACUGACUAUAGCAAUCUGUUGACACGAGGUUCAGAAAAAAGUGAGAAAUUGAUGUGUAAGCAUUUUUUAUUGAGAUAUAAACUUUCUGGGUAGUUUGCAAGAUUUAACCUGGGAUUAUAGUUUGAAUUUUUUAGAUAUACAACCAGCAAUCUGAGAUCAAUGCUUCUGCACAGACAAUCUAGAUGGGCCAACAAAAUUUCUUUGCAAGCUCAUACAGAAGCUUAAAGACAUGCCUGCUAAUUUGGGAUGUUGUGAUGUUACAUGACUUAAAUCUUGCUUGAUAUAUCAUAAUCAUAUAAUCUGAUAAGGUGGUUGACCAAACCCGAAGAUUUUGGAACAGAAAAAGUUGUGCCAGCAAGUAAAAUUACUUCAAUGCAAGAUUUGAGAAGGCAUGUCACGAGGUGCUGCAGUGCUUGGUCGCCUACCAGACUUAGAGCCAAAGUUGUUUGAGCGCUUUUUGUUCUCUACGGUUUUCCGAAUACGUCAGAUUUUUUUUUUUUUGUAGCCUGAACCUUGGAGACGAUUUCUUGGGUGUAUAUAGCUGCACAUUUUUCGUGUCCUAUGACGGUAACACAUGAAAAAUUCAGCAAGGUCAAAGCAGCAUCUUGGACACAUCCAGUGCAUACUAUUGGCUUCUGAGGGAGAUAAUAUAUGUUAGAUUUCCAAUUAUGGGGCACAUGGUCAUCCUUACGCAUUUACUGAUGCCGCAUGGCCGCAAGUUUGCACAACAGGUGGCCGCUUUCAUGGUUGGCGGGAGCAUCUUGGCCUGGUACCAUGCGCGACAGUCCCACGGAAUGUACCAUCGCCUUAAUGGUGCCAGAGCCGGUGUAGUGUGGCGAAGGUACCUUCCCACGGGAUCUCUACCAUCGCCUUUAUGGUGCCAGAGCCGGUGUAGUGUGGCUAAGGUGCCAUCAAUGACGGGACACAGAUGGUGAGCGAUGAUAAAGAGAAGGAAGAUUGUCGUCGCGGUUGUUGUGCAGGAGUGCUCUGAUUACUGCUAACAUUAGGAACUGCAUGCACAUGAAGCUGAAUUAUAACAUAGAAGACUUUGAUGAAGAUAUACAUUUUAUAUUUAGAAAAGAUAUGUAAGAAGUCCUAUGUUCCCUCAGUAGUUAUUCAUUGUAAUAAAUUUUAUGAAAUUUCAAUUGAUCAAGAGGGCAUUGGUCUAAUUUAAAAAGAAGAUUAGUAGCUUACUUUGUUCACGUAUAUUUAGAAGGGGACGGAGCUAAGCUUAUAAUGUGUGUUGCACGUGCGAACUUCUGUCAUUAAAACUAUAACUAUAUGUGUUUUUA